rnacentral:misc_RNA from 1 species
GAUGAAGAACGUAGCGAAAUGCGAUAAGUAAUGUGAAUUGCAGAAUUCAGUGAAUCAUCGAAUCUUUGAACGCACAUUGCGCCCGCCAGUAUUCUGGCGGGCAUGCCUGUCUGAGCGUCAUUUCAACCCUCAUGCCCCUAGGGCGUGGUGUUGGGGAUCGGCCAAAGCCCGCGAGGGACGGCCGGCCCCUAAAUCUAGUGGCGGACCCGUCGUGGCCUCCUCUGCGAAGUAGUGAUAUUCCGCAUCGGAGAGCGACGAGCCCAUGCCGUUAAACCCCCAACUUUCCAAGGUUGACCUCAGAUCAGGUAGGAAUACCCGCUGAACUUAAGCAUAUCAAUAAGCGGAGGA